rnacentral:rRNA from 1 species
UACGUAGGGUGCAAGCGUUAAUCGGAAUUACUGGGCGUAAAGCGUGCGCAGGCGGUUGUGCAAGACAGAUGUGAAAUCCCCGGGCUUAACCUGGGAACUGCAUUCGAGACUGCAUAGCUAGAGUAUGGGAGAGGGAAGUGGAAUUUCAGGUGUAGCGGUGAAAUGCGUAGAUAUCUGAAGGAACAUCAGUGGCGAAAGCGACUUCCUGGACCAAUACUGACGCUCAUGUGCGAAAGCGUGGGAGCAAACAGG